rnacentral:rRNA from 1 species
CAGCGGCGGACGGGUGAGUAAUGCUUAGGAAUCUGCCUAUUAGUGGGGGACAACAUCUCGAAAGGGAUGCUAAUACCGCAUACGUCCUACGGGAGAAAGCAGGGGAUCACUUGUGACCUUGCGCUAAUAGAUGAGCCUAAGUCGGAUUAGCUAGUUGGUGGGGUAAAGGCCUACCAAGGCGACGAUCUGUAGCGGGUCUGAGAGGAUGAUCCGCCACACUGGGACUGAGACACGGCCCAGACUCCUACGGGAGGCAGCAGUGGGGAAUAUUGGACAAUGGGGGGAACCCUGAUCCAGCCAUGCCGCGUGUGUGAAGAAGGCCUUAUGGUUGUAAAGCACUUUAAGCGAGGAGGAGGCUCUUUUGGUUAAUACCCAAGAUGAGUGGACGUUACUCGCAGAAUAAGCACCGGCUAACUCUGUGCCAGCAGCCGCGGUAAUACAGAGGGUGCAAGCGUUAAUCGGAUUUACUGGGCGUAAAGCGCGCGUAGGCGGCCAAUUAAGUCAAAUGUGAAAUCCCCGAGCUUAACUUGGGAAUUGCAUUCGAUACUGGUUGGCUAGAGUGUGGGAGAGGAUGGUAGAAUUCCAGGUGUAGCGGUGAAAUGCGUAGAGAUCUGGAGGAAUACCGAUGGCGAAGGCAGCCAUCUGGCCUAACACUGACGCUGAGGUGCGAAAGCAUGGGGAGCAAACAGGAUUAGAUACCCUGGUAGUCCAUGCCGUAAACGAUGUCUACUAGCCGUUGGGGCCUUUGAGGCUUUAGUGGCGCAGCUAACGCGAUAAGUAGACCGCCUGGGGAGUACGGUCGCAAGACUAAAACUCAAAUGAAUUGACGGGGGCCCGCACAAGCGGUGGAGCAUGUGGUUUAAUUCGAUGCAACGCGAAGAACCUUACCUGGCCUUGACAUAGUAGAAACUUUCCAGAGAUGGAUUGGUGCCUUCGGGAAUCUACAUACAGGUGCUGCAUGGCUGUCGUCAGCUCGUGUCGUGAGAUGUUGGGUUAAGUCCCGCAACGAGCGCAACCCUUUUCCUUACUUGCCAGCAUUUCGGAUGGGAACUUUAAGGAUACUGCCAGUGACAAACUGGAGGAAGGCGGGGACGACGUCAAGUCAUCAUGGCCCUUACGGCCAGGGCUACACACGUGCUACAAUGGUCGGUACAAAGGGUUGCUACCUAGCGAUAGGAUGCUAAUCUCAAAAAGCCGAUCGUAGUCCGGAUUGGAGUCUGCAACUCGACUCCAUGAAGUC